ACCAAUUGUUCGCCAAAUAACUACGAGUUUAAACUUAAAAUUUAAAAGACUUGACGGUACCUCACAACAACCUAGAGGAGCCUGUCAAAUAACCGAUACUCCACGAUUAAUCCAACCACCCCUAGCCCAACAGUCUAUAUACCGCCGUCGCCAGCUCACCUUAUGAAAGAAACAAAGUGAGUAAAAUAGUACUAACACUAACACGACAGGUCGAGGUGUAACUCAUGGGGUGGUACAAGAUGGGCUACAUUUUCUAACACAGAAAACACGAAUAAACUAUGAAACUAGAAACUGAAGGCGGAUUUAGCAGUACACUAAGAACACAAUACCUAGUAGAAAUCAACGCAAUGAGGUGCGUACACACCGCCCGUCAUCCCUGCUAAUUAAAUCUAAACAUACAUAAUCAAAUAUUAAUACUUUCAAAUCAGGGCAAGUCGUA
rnacentral:rRNA from 1 species